rnacentral:rRNA from 1 species
CAGCAGCCGCGGUAAUACCGGCGGCCCGAGUGGCGGUCACUCUUAUUGGGCUUAAAGCGUCCGUAGCCGGGUUGGGAAGUCCUCCGGGAAAUCUGGCCGCUUAACGGUCAGAAUGCCGGAGGAUACUCCCAGCCUAGGGAGCGGGGGAGGCCGAGGGGAUUCCCGGAGUAGGGGGGAAAUCCUAUAAUCCCCGGAGGACCACCUGUGGCGAAGGCGCUCGGCUGGAACGCGUCCGACGGUGAGGGACGAAGGCCAGGGGAGCAAACCGGAUUAGAUACCCGGGUAGUCCUGGCUGUAAACGAUGCGGACUUUGUGUCGGACAAGCUAUGAGCUUGUCCGGUGCCGGAGGGAAACCGUUAAGUCCGCCGCCUGGGGAGUACGGCCGCAAGGCUGAAACUUAAAGGAAUUGGCGGG